rnacentral:rRNA from 1 species
UACGUAGGGGGGCAAGCGUUGUCCAGAUUUAUUGGGCGUAAAGAGCGUGUAGGCGGCCAGGUAGGUCUGCUGUGAAAACUCGAGGCUUAACCUCGAGCUGUCGGCGGAAACCAUCUGGCUAGAGUCCGGAAGAGGAGAAUGGAAUUCCCGGUGUAGCGGUGAAAUGCGCAGAUAUCGGGAAGAACACCCGUGGCGAAGGCGGUUCUCUGGGACGGUACUGACGCUGAGACGCGAAAGCGUGGGGAGCGAACAGG